rnacentral:piRNA from 1 species
UGGAUAAGAGUCCAUUUUAUGCCUUUUGG